AUGACGAGUGGCGCACGGGUGCGUAACGCGUAUGCAACCUACCCUUUACUGGGGGAUAGCCCGGAGAAAUUCGGAUUAAUACCCCAUGGUACUAUAAUAUAGCAUUAUAUAAUAGUUAAAGAUUUAUUGGUAAAGGAUGGGCAUGCGUGACAUUAGUUAGUUGGUAAGGUAACGGCUUACCAAGACGAUGAUGUCUAGGGGUUCUGAGAGGAAGGUCCCCCACACUGGUACUGAGACACGGACCAG
rnacentral:rRNA from 1 species